rnacentral:tRNA from 1 species
GGAAGUGUGGCUCAGUGGUAGAGUGCUUGCCUUGCAUGCAUGAGGCCCUGGGUUCGAUUCCUCAGCACCA